CGAAAAACCAGCGUCAGUUGGCGCUGGUCAGGACUUCAGUAAGGCCGUCAGAUACCGUGCAGGGGUUCGGUAAACGGUGACGCGUUGCGUCAAAAGGGACCGGGGGCAGUGGUAAAAAGGUUCACGCCCUGCAACCAAUGUGGACGGAUUCUAUGCAGGGUUUUAUAGAUCGUCAACACUAUAGAUAGGCAAAUGUAUAACUAAUUGUAA
rfam:Burkholderia fungorum strain ATCC BAA-463 chromosome 1, complete sequence.